rnacentral:rRNA from 1 species
AGCGAUGAAACACCUUCGGGUGUGAAUUAGCGGCGAACGGGUGAGGAACACGUGAAGAAUCUGCCUUCAACUCUGGGAUAACUCCGGGAAACCGGGGCUAAUACCGGAUAUGAGCCUUGAUCGCAUGAUCGGGGCUGGAAAGUUUUUCGGUUGAAGAUGACUUCGCGGCCUAUCAGCUUGUUGGUGAGGUAAUGGCUCACCAAGGCGACGACGGGUAGCCGGCCUGAGAGGGCGACCGGCCACACUGGGACUGAGACACGGCCCAGACUCCUACGGGAGGCAGCAGUGGGGAAUAUUGGGCAAUGGAGGAAACUCUGACCCAUCGACGCCGCGUGAGGGAUGAAGGCCUUCGGGUUGUAAACCUCUUUCAGUAGGGAAGAAGCGAAAGUGACGG